UCUCGGGAAUUGAGGAAAUACUCCCUAGAUCAUAGGAUCUGGAAUGACUUAUGGUCGAAAGUUCCGGCGCUUCAGGAUUGGUCUGCGGCCUAUCAGGUCGUAGUGGGUGUAACGGACCCACUAGCCGACGACGGGUAUGGGCCUUGAGAGAGGGAGCCCAGAGAUGGAUUCUGAGACACGAAUCCAGGCCCUACGGGGCGCAGCAGUCGCGAAAACUUCACACUGGAGGCAACUCCGAUGAGGGAAUUCCUAGUGCUAGCACAUUAGUGCUAGCUUUUCUUAAGCGUAGAUAACUUAAGGAAUAAGGGCUGGGUAAGACGGGUGCCAGCCGCCGCGGUAAUACCCGCAGCCCCAAGUGGUGGUCGAUUUUAUUGAGUCUAAAACGUUCGUAGCCGGUUUGGUAAAUCCUUGGGUAAAUCGAGAGGCUUAACUUUUCGAAUUCCGAGGAGACUGCCAAACCUGGGACCGGGAGAGGCGAGAGGUACUUCUGGGGUAGGGGUAAAAUCCUGUAAUCCUAGAAGGACCACCGGUGGCGAAGGCGUCUCGCUAGAACGGAUCCGACGGUGAGGGACGAAGCCCUGGGUCGCAAACGGGAUUAGAUACCCCGGUAGUCCAGGGUGUAAACGCUGCAGACUUGGUGUUGGGGGCCCUACGGGGGCGUUCAGUGCCGGAGAGAAGUUGUUAAGUCUGCUACUUGGGGAGUACGUCCGCAAGGAUGAAACUUAAAGGAAUUGGCGGGGGAGCACCGCAACGGGAGGAGCGUGCGGUUUAAUUGGGAUUCAACACCGGAAAACUCACCAGCGGCGACUGUUACAUGAAAGUCAGGCCGAUGACCUUACUAGAUUUUCAGAGAGGUGGUGCAUGGCCGUCGUCAGUUCGUACCGUAAGGCGUUCUCUUAAGUGAGAUAACGAACGAGACCCUCACCAAUAGUUGCUACUCCAUCCUCCGGGGUGGAGGCACACUAUUGGGACCGCUGGCGCUAAGUCAAAGGAAGGAGAGGUCAACGGUAGGUCAGUAUGCCCCGAAUCUGCUGGGCUACACGCGCGCUACAAAGGGCGGGACAAUGGGCUCCGACACCGAAAGGUGAAGGUAAUCCCGAAACCCGUCCGUAGUUCGGAUUGAGGGUUGUAACUCACCCUCAUGAAGCUGGAUUCCGUAGUAAUCGCGAAUCAACAG
rnacentral:rRNA from 1 species